UGCCCCAAAUUUAUUUAAAUAGCAUUAACUUUUUUUAUGUUUGCAAAGCUCUUCAAACAUCAAGCCAGGUAAAUACAAGAAAAUUCAUAAACCUCUGCUGAUAUAGCUUAACCUCCUCCUUACUUAGCACGAGUUUAUCCAAAAUUCUCUUUGUUGGUUGAAAAGAUAGUUGACUUUCUUAAAUCUACUUUGGAUAGGGACAGGUCUCACAUCCACCAAUGCAUUGUAUCUUCAUUUUUUCUUGCUAAACAUAUUUUAGAGGACAUACCA
rnacentral:lncRNA from 1 species